AAGUGAUAAUAUUUUAAAUCUCGUUGCUACUGCUACAUUCAGCUAACUUCUCUAAACAUAGUAAAGGCAUUUUCUGGAAACCUCCAAACGCAACCGCAAGCUUCGUCGUACCUCCUUCACUCCGCCAUAAGCUUCGAAUUGUGCCGCCAUUGCCAUUGUCUGUCUUAGUUGCGACAGCCAGCUGCCUCCGACCGUUGAAAAGGCCCGUUGAAGGAAAUGCAACAAUGAAACAGGAUUUAAGAAGCUGACUUCACAUAUUGGAAUAUAUUAAAGCCCUGCCUCUAAGUACUUCAAUGCAUUUUCUUUUAAUUGUGGCAUAAGCUACAAUGUUUUUAUACGCUUGUCUAAUUUCACUAUAUAUGUAUUGUAAAUCAAUUGUUCAUUUGAUAAUUACAAUGGUAUUUGUGACAUGAAUGAGGAUAAAAUAGGUAUUCCCUUU